rnacentral:lncRNA from 1 species
AGCAAAGAGGUUCCCGAUUAAACUGUGUUGAAGAAGAUUCCUCGGUGUGGCGUCUUUCUUGCUGGUCAAGGGUGGAUGCCACAAGUGGUGGCCCGUACGGGGAAUUCAGAACUUCUCACAGUUGGGGCGGCGCCCGGUAAGUUCCCAAGGAUCAGCAAGACCCGGUGUGGAUUCCAGAGAGACUAACGAGGAGGUGCAACAAACAAGAUGAAGCCUCCGAUAUUGAUCCUGCUGCUGACCUUGACAACACCGUGGCUGAUCCAGGCCAGAGAACAAAUCCUGUGGGCCAUAGCAAAAGCGUGGCCAAUCUCGAGUACUAUGCUCACUGAAGCCCUGUCUCAGUUUAGUACAGGCGCUAGUUCUGGCUCUGGCACUGGUACAAAUGGGACCAAAGAUGUAAAU